AGAAGGAUAGCUGGGUCAAACUAACAGUGGUUCUAGUCCCAGAUUUCCAAGGAAUCUCCAUACUGCUUUCUAAAUUGGCUGUACCAAUUUGCAGUCCCACCAGCAAU
rnacentral:pre_miRNA from 1 species